rnacentral:rRNA from 1 species
GGUUAAGUGACUAAGCGUACACGGUGGAUGCCUUGGCAGUCAGAGGCGAUGAAGGACGUAUUAACUUGCGAUAAGCCCAGAUUAGGUAGUAAAAACCAUUUGAGUCUGGGAUUUCCGAAUGGGGAAACCCACUAGCAUAAGCUAGUAUCGCUGCGUGAAUACAUAGCGCAGCGAGGCGAACCGGGGGAACUGAAACAUCUAAGUACCCCGAGGAAAAGAAAUCAACCGAGAUUCCGAAAGUAGCGGCGAGCGAAAUUGGACUAGCCCUUAAGCUUUUUAUGCGUCAGGUGAAACUUCUGGAAAGUUGUGCGAUACAGGGUGAUAGCCCCGUAACCUAAGCAACGCAUUUAAAGUGAAAUCGAGUAGGGCGGGACACGUGAUAUCCUGUCUGAAUAUGGGGGGACCAUCCUCCAAGGCUAAAUACUACUGACUGACCGAUAGUGAACCAGUACCGUGAGGGAAAGGCGAAAAGAACCCCUGUGAGGGGAGUGAAAUAGAACCUGAAACCGUGUACGUACAAGCAGUAGGAGCACCUUCGUGGUGUGACUGCGUACCUUUUGUAUAAUGGGUCAGCGACUUAUAUUCAGUGGCAAGGUUAACCAUCUAGGGGAGCCGUAGGGAAACCGAGUCUUAACUGGGCGUUCAGUCUCUGGAUAUAGACCCGAAACCAAGGUGAUCUAGCCAUGGGCAGGUUGAAGGUUGAGUAACAUCAACUGGAGGACCGAACCGACUAAUGUUGAAAAAUUAGCGGAUGACUUGUGGCUAGGGGUGAAAUAGUCAAUCAAACCUGGAGAUAGCUGGUUCUCCCCGAAAGCUAUUUAGGUAGCGCCUCGGACGAAUACUACUGGGGGUAGAGCACUGUUAAGGCUAGGGGGUCAUCCCGACUUACCAACCCUUUGCAAACUCCGAAUACCAGUAAGUACUAUCCGGGAGACACACGGCGGGUGCUAACGUCCGUCGUGGAGAGGGAAACAACCCAGACCGCCAGCUAAGGUCCCAAAUUACUACUAAGUGGGAAACGAUGUGGGAAGGCUCAGACGAAGCCAGGAUGUUGGCUUAGAAGCAGCCAUCAUUUAAAGAAAGCGUAAUAGCUCACUGGUCGAGUCGGUACUGCGCGGAAGAUGUAACGGGGCUAAGUAGUAAACCGAAGCUGCGGCAAUGCACUUUAGUGCAUUGGGUAGGGGAGCGUUCUGUAAGCGGUUGAAGGUGUGUGGUAACGCAUGCUGGACGUAUCAGAAGUGCGAAUGCUGACAUGAGUAACGAUAAAGGGGGUGAAAAACCUCCUCGCCGGAAGACCAAGGGUUCCUGUCCAACGUUAAUCGGGGCAGGGUAAGUCGACCCCUAAGGCGAGAGUAGAAAGGCGUAGUCGAUGGGAAACGGGUUAAUAUUCCCGUACUUCUUACAAUUGCGAUGGGGGGGACGGAGAAGGCUAGGUGGUACUUGGCGACGGUUGUCCAGGUUCAAGUGCGUAGGCUUAAGAGUUAGGUAAAUCCGGCUCUUUCUAAGGCUGAGACACGACGUCGAGCUACUACGGUAGUGAAGUCAUUGAUGCCAUGCUUAGGAAAAGCCUCUAAGCUUCAGAUUGUAAGGAAUCGUACCCCAAACCGACACAGGUGGUCGGGUAGAGAAUACCAAGGCGCUUGAGAGAACUCGGGUGAAGGAACUAGGCAAAAUGGUACCGUAACUUCGGGAGAAGGUACGCUCUCGACGGUGAAGUCCCUUGCGGAUGGAGCUAUUGAGAGUCGCAGAUACCAGGUGGCUGCAACUGUUUAUUAAAAACACAGCACUGUGCAAAAUCGUAAGAUGACGUAUACGGUGUGACGCCUGCCCGGUGCCGGAAGGUUAAUUGAUGGGGUUAGACUUCGGUCGAAGCUCUUGAUCGAAGCCCCGGUAAACGGCGGUACGUAACUAUAACGGUCCUAAGGUAGCGAAAUUCCUUGUCGGGUAAGUUCCGACCUGCACGAAUGGCGUAAUGAUAGUACGCUGUCUCCACCCGAGACUCAGUGAAAUUGAAAUCGCUGUGAAGAUGCAGUGUACCCGCGGCUAGACGGAAAGACCCCGUGAACCUUUACUACAGCUUGGCACUGAACAUUGACCCUACAUGUGUAGGAUAGGUGGGAGGCUUUGAAGCACAGUCGCUAGAUUGUGUGGAGCCGUCCUUGAAAUACCACCCUUGUAGUGUUGAUGUUCUAACGUUGACCCCUAAUCGGGGUUGCGGACAGUGCCUUAGUGGGUAGUUUGACUGGGGCGGUCUCCUCCCAAAGCGUAACGGAGGAGCACGAAGGUGGGCUAAUCACGGUUGGACAUCGUGAGGUUAGUGCAAUGGCAUAAGCCCGCUUGACUGCGAGAAUGACGGUUCGAGCAGGUGCGAAAGCAGGUCAUAGUGAUCCGGUGGUUCUGAAUGGAAGGUACCAUCGCUCAACGGAUAAAAGGUACUCCGGGGAUAACAGGCUGAUACCGCCCAAGAGUUCAUAUCGACGGCGGUGUUUGGCACCUCGAUGUCGGCUCAUCACAUCCUGGGGCUGAAGUCGGUCCCAAGGGUAUGGCUGUUCGCCAUUUAAAGUGGUACGCGAGCUGGGUUUAGAACGUCGUGAGACAGUUCGGUCCCUAUCUGCCGUGGGCGUUGGAAGAUUGAAGGGGGCUGCUCCUAGUACGAGAGGACCGGAGUGGACGAACCUCUGGUGUUCGGGUUGUGUCGCCAGACGCAUUGCCCGGUAGCUAAGUUCGGAAUCGAUAACCGCUGAAAGCAUCUAAGCGGGAAGCGAGCCCUGAGAUGAGUCUUCCCUGAUACUUUAAGUAUCCUAAAGGGUUGUUCGAGACUAGAACGUUGAUAGGCAGGGUGUGUAAGCGUUGUGAGGCGUUGAGCUAACCUGUACUAAUUGCCCGUGAGGCUUAACCAU